rnacentral:rRNA from 1 species
AAUAGAUACCCGGGUAGUCCACGCCCUAAACGAUGUCAACUAGCUGUUGGGGUUUAUUAACCUUAGUAGCGCAGCCAACGCGUGAAGUUGACCGCCUGGGGAGUACGGUCGCAAGAUUAAAACUCAAAGGAAUUGACGGGGACCCGCACAAGCGGUGGAUGAUGUGGAUUAAUUCGAUGCAACGCGAAAAACCUUACCUACCCUUGACAUGUCUGGAAUCCCGAAGAGAUUUGGGAGUGCUCGCAAGAGAACCGGAACACAGGUGCUGCAUGGCUGUCGUCAGCUCGUGUCGUGAGAUGUUGGGUUAAGUCCCGCAACGAGCGCAACCCUUGCCAUUAGUUGCUACAUUUAGUUGGGCACUCUAAUGGGACUGCCGGUGACAAACCGGAGGAAGGUGGGGAUGACGUCAAGUCCUCAUGGCCCUUAUGGGUAGGGCUUCACACGUCAUACAAUGGUCGGGACAGAGGGUUGCCAAGCCGCGAGGUGGAGCCAAUCUCAGAAACCCGAUCGUAGUCCGGAUCGCAGUCUGCAACUCGA